rnacentral:rRNA from 1 species
UCGGGAAUUUUGGGCAAUGGGCGAAAGCCUGACCCAGCAACGCCGCGUGAGGGAUGAAGUAUUUCGGUAUGUAAACCUCGAAAGAAUGGGAAGAAUAAAUGACGGUACCAUUUAUAAGCUCCGGCUAACUACGUGCCAGCAGCCGCGGUAAUACGUAGGGAGCAAGCGUUGUUCGGAUUUACUGGGCGUAAAGGGCGCGUAGGCGGCGCGGUAAGUCACUUGUGAAAUCUCUGAGCUUAACUCAGAACGGCCAAGUGAUACUGCUGUGCUAGAGUGCGGAAGAGGCAACCGGAAUUCUUGGUGUAGCGGUGAAAUGCGUAGAUAUCAAGAGGAACACCUGAGGCGAAGGCGGGUUGCUGGGCCGACACUGACGCUGAUGCGCGAAAGCCAGAGGAGCAAACG